rnacentral:sRNA from 1 species
CCGCGCACGCGCAGUUUUUUGCAGUUCCGGAAGCGGAUCGUGUUGGGUGCAGGUGACGCCGCCGAGCGAAGAACCCUUAAAGAAGAGGAAGAGGAAAGAAAGACAAGUCAGGCAUGGCUCUCACCCAGGGACAGGUGACAUUCAGGGAUGUGGCUAUAGAAUUCUCUCAGGAGGAGUGGACAUGCCUGGACCCCGCUCAGAGGACUUUGUACAGGGACGUGAUGUUGGAGAAUUAUAGGAACCUGGCCUCCCUGGGUGAGGAUGACUUUCUUCCAGAAGUCAGGAUCUGCCCCUGUGUAUCUUUUCAUUUUCCAUGUGGGUCUCCUGGGAGCUCCUGCAUUGCUUGGCUGAGACUGAAGCUGUGUUGACUGAAAAAUGAAAAUCUCCAUAAUGUGGAAACUGGAUUUUAAUUUUCCUCUUCCUGAUGUCACUGGAGGGUUUCAGGACUUUUAAAAUAUCCAAUUCCCUGUUUUCUAUCCCCAUGCUUUGAUUCAGUGGUUUUGGGAUGAGAGCUAUAUAUUUGCAUAUUAUAGUGUUUCCUAACAAUUUAUAAAGAAGCAUUUAGUGGAUGAAUUUUUGAAGUGUUUUUUUAGAUACAGCUGUA